GCAAGUCGAGGGGUAACAGGUAUUUCUUUCAAUCCGCUGACGACCGGCGGACGGGUGCGUAACGCGUAUAGAACCUACCUUUUACUGAGGGAUAGCCUUUAGAAAUGAAGAUUAAUACCUCAUGGUAUUGAAUUUUGGCAUCAGAAUUUAAUUAAAGAUUUAUUGGUAAAAGAUGGCUAUGCGUCCUAUUAGCUAGAUGGUAAGGUAACGGCUUACCAUGGCAACGAUAGGUAGGGGUCCUGAGAGGGAGAUC
rnacentral:rRNA from 1 species